CCAGCGGCCCCCCCCGCCCCCGAGAUCCGAACCGGAGGAGUCUCUUAAGCUUGCGUGUUCCCGGCUGCAGUGGCUGCCUUGCGGUAUGGGACGAGCGGGGCCCGAGCGGGCGGAAAUUUGAGAGUGUGCCUGCACUGCUGCUGUGUAUCUGCCUUUGGUGCAGCCAGAAACCAGCCACACGAACCUUGGUACCAGUGAACUUGUGCUGGCCACUGGGCAUUAGGGCAUUGACUACAAGAGCCGAUCAGAGGGGUGGGGUGUAGAGGGGUACGGGUAAUAAAGAGGAUGUGACCUCAGGUUGAUGCUCCA
rnacentral:lncRNA from 1 species